rnacentral:rRNA from 1 species
AUUGAACGCUGGCGGCAUGCCUUACACAUGCAAGUCGAACGGCAGCACGGGAGCAAUCCUGGUGGCGAGUGGCGAACGGGUGAGUAAUACAUCGGAACGUGCCCAGUAGUGGGGGAUAGCCCGGCGAAAGCCGGAUUAAUACCGCAUACGACCUACGGGUGAAAGCGGGGGAUCGCAAGACCUCGCGCUAUUGGAGCGGCCGAUGGCAGAUUAGGUAGUUGGUGAGGUAAAGGCUCACCAAGCCAACGAUCUGUAGCUGGUCUGAGAGGACGACCAGCCACACUGGGACUGAGACACGGCCCAGACUCCUACGGGAGGCAGCAGUGGGGAAUUUUGGACAAUGGGCGCAAGCCUGAUCCAGCCAUGCCGCGUGCGGGAAGAAGGCCUCGGGUUGUAAACCGCUUUGUCUAGGGAGAAACGCUCCGAGCCAAUACCUCGGAGUAAUGACGGUACCUGAAGAAUAAGCACCGGCGUAACUACGUGCCAGCAGCCGC